rnacentral:lncRNA from 1 species
AUUCAGAACUUCUUGAAUUUUGUGAAUAAAACAAACAGUAAUAUAAUUUCGUUUGGCACUGAGUAAUCCUCAGACCUUCAAACAAACUGUUACCAUAAAUCAAACGUCCCUACCUUUAAUCCGCAAUAGCUGGGUCCUUCUCGUCUCUUGUCCCGCUUGUUUUUUGUGUUUUAGAGCUUCAGUUCAGCUCCUCGACAAUGUGAACCCAGAGCUUCCACAGGAAGGAGGAGGAGGACAAAGUCCUCCAGCAGGAACUGAAAAUUAUGAGUGUGCCGUGUCCUAGAGAGGGUGUGAGUCUUUACUGUGGCAUCACAAAGGUUAGGCGAUACUGAGGACAUCGCCUCACCCUCGACUUUCCACAACAUUAAAACUCAUUUUAUUACAUUUUUCUGACUCUAAGAUAAAGAGCAAGCAAUAAGAAGAAAUUUAAUAAUUGAUUAUAAAAAUAUAAACAAUACAAAAUGUUAGUUUAUAAAUAUACAGACAUAUAUAUAUAUAUAUAUAUAUAUAUAUAUAUAUAUAUAUUUUUUUUUUUUUCUGCUGUCGGUUCCUGGUUCAUAUAUAUAUAUAUUUAUACGUAUAUGAUAAAUGAUCCGUACGUGUAAAGCGCCUCUCAGAGUAAGGACUCCAAAGCGCUUUACACUACAGUGUAUCAUUCAUCCAUUCACACAAACAUUCACACACUGGUGGGGAUGAGCUACAGCUGCCCUGGGGCGCACUGACAGAGGCGAGACCCACCUUUUUAGCUUAGCUUUUAACUGAUUACUAUUUAUCUAGUCUGUUUAACUGUAUCGCUUGUCGUAUUUGUUUAUUUAUAUAUAUGUAUACCUAUUUAUCCAUUUUACUUAAUUUAAUUGUUUUAUUUACAUCUUAGUGUUUUUAUAUGAUUAUGUUUUCUUUUACUAUCUUUAUAAUCACUUUUUAUCAGUUACUUUCUAUCCAUAUUGGCUUUUGUUAUUUUACAGUUAUAUAUUUUAAUCCUCAAGUGUUUCCUCUGCGGAGCCCUCUGCCUUGGGGCCGGUGGUCGGCGGCGGCGGCCGGGGCGUCAUGGGCCGGUGUCUUGGCUGCUGCCGUGGAUCUGUUGCUGCCAGGGCAGAUGGCUCCGCUGAUGAUGUGUCGUCCAGUACCUGACCCAUCUGAACUCAGCCUAUUGUUUACUCUGUUGUUCACGUGUGUGUGUGUGUGUGUGUGUGUGUGUGUGUGUGUGUGUGUGUGUGUACAUUCACCUUGGAAAUUGGUUGCUGGAGGGGAAGUGUAA